rnacentral:rRNA from 1 species
GACGAACCGAGCGAACGUUGUUCGGAAUCACUGGGCUUAAAGGGCGCGUAGGCGGCUUGUUAAGUAGGGUGUGAAAUCCCCCGGCUCAACCGGGGAAUUGCGCCCUAAACUGGCGAGCUGGAGUGAGAUAGGGGUGUGUGGAACUUCCAGUGGAGCGGUGAAAUGUGUUGAUAUUGGAAGGAACGCCAGUGGCGAAAGCGACACACUGGGUCUCAACUGACGCUGAGGCACGAAAGCCAGGGGAGCAAACGGG